UACGGGGGGGGGCAAGCGUUGUUCGGAAUUACUGGGCGUAAAGGGCUCGUAGGUGGCCAACUAAGUCAGACGUGAAAUCCCCAGGCUCAACCUGGGAACUGCGUCUGAUACUGGAUGGCUUGAAUCCGGGAGAGGGAUGCAGAAUUCCAGGUGUAGCGGUGAAAUGCGUAGAUAUCUGGAGGAAUACCGGUGGCGAAGGCGGCAUCCUGGACCGGCAUUGACGCUGAGGAGCGAAAGCCAGGGGAGCAAAGCGGG
rnacentral:rRNA from 1 species